AGUGAGCACGAGCAAUGCCUUGUUGAUGCGCUGAAGCACCAGAAGGCCCCAGCGAGCAGCACAGCGCUGCCGAUAACAGGGAGCGAGGGAGGUUCCCUGUGCAGGAGAUGUCGGGAGAGCGCCCCAAAGCGGCGAGUGACCAAAGCUAAACCCCGAGGUGGCUCUGGGGACCCUCCAGUCCCCGUGAGGUGCUCAUUGCUGGGAAGAAC
rnacentral:lncRNA from 1 species